CGCCCCAAAUCACCACCGGCCGGCCAUGCAAAAAUUCAUGUCGAUGCUGUCUCCCGUAAGGGGCCAGGAGGUGCAGCGGCAGCUGUCUGCCGUGAUGAAACGGGAGCAUAUCUUGGAAGUUCAGCUCUUGUGGUCGCAGGUGUCGGCGAUCCUGAAAUUCUGGAGACAAUAGCCUGCAGGGAGGCGCUAGCGUUGGCACAGGAUCUUAAUAUCCAGAGUAUGAUUGUUGCAUCAGAUUCCAAGGGAGCAGUUGGAGCUAUCAACAACGGAAGCCUUGAAGCGAACGGUGCUAUCAUCGCUGAGGUUCAUAGCUUAGCUUUAAAUUUGGUUUGUAAUUUUACUUUUGAAGGUCGUGCCGUUAAUGUUGAGGCACAUAGAUUAGCCAAGCAUGCAUUUUUUUUGGGUCCGGGGCGUCACAUUUGGCUAGGCCAACCCCAUGACCAAAGAUGUAUUCCACUAUCUGUGGCUUUUGAUGAAUAA
rnacentral:rRNA from 1 species